CGGUCUUUCGCCUCCGCCUGUUGCGUUGAGGUGUGGUGUCGACCUGGCUGGUCGUCGACCCGUGUGGAGCGCAGCCUCGGGGCUGGCGUGUGGUGUCGUGUUGUAACGAUUUUUCGGCCAGUUUUUCUCAUAAACGGGCCAGCUCUUUUCUCCUAUAUCAAUGAAAGGCAAAGCUUUUGCCUCGUUUCAAAAAUAAAGAAAAGCCAAAAAGGGGAAUCGAGUUUGAGUGAUUCAGAAAA